AAAAUGGAUUUUCAUGAAUGGGUGAAGUUGAUCCCAUUAAUGUCCUGGCUGAUCCCAACUGCAGACUUUAGAUGAUGAAUUAUACUGGCCCACUGAAUUCAGUCUCUCUCCACUCCUGAUCUCCGACCAUGCAGCCAGCAUGGAGGGUCUGUUUCCCACAUGGUUGAGAUUGAUCUCUCCUCAUUUUUUCUUUUUAUCCCUCUGACUAUAACUACGUAUAGACUGCAACUGUAAGUAAAU